rnacentral:rRNA from 1 species
GACGAACGCUGGCGGCGUGCCUAAUACAUGCAAGUAGAACGCUGAAGAGAGGAGCUUGCUCUUCUUGGAUGAGAUGCGAACGGGUGAGUAACGCGUAGGUAACCUGCCUUGUAGCGGGGGAUAACUAUUGGAAACGAUAGCUAAUACCGCAUAACAAUGGAUGACACAUGUCAUUUAUUUGAAAGGGGCAAUUGCUCCACUACAAGAUGGACCUGCGUUGUAUUAGCUAGUAGGUGAGGUAAUGGCUCACCUAGGCGACGAUACAUAGCCGACCUGAGAGGGUGAUCGGCCACACUGGGACUGAGACACGGCCCAGACUCCUACGGGAGGCAGCAGUAGGGAAUCUUCGGCAAUGGGGGCAACCCUGACCGAGCAACGCCGCGUGAGUGAAGAAGGUUUUCGGAUCGUAAAGCUCUGUUGUAAGUCAAGAACGGGUGUGAGAGUGGAAAGUUCACACUGUGACGGUAGCUUACCAGAAAGGGACGGCUAACUACGUGCCAGCAGCCGCGGUAAUACGUAGGUCCCGAGCGUUGUCCGGAUUUAUUGGGCGUAAAGCGAGCGCAGGCGGUUUGAUAAGUCUGAAGUUAAAGGCUGUGGCUCAACCAUAGUUCGCUUUGGAAACUGUCAAACUUGAGUGCAGAAGGGGAGAGUGGAAUUCCAUGUGUAGCGGUGAAAUGCGUAGAUAUAUGGAGGAACACCGGUGGCGAAAGCGGCUCUCUGGUCUGUAACUGACGCUGAGGCUCGAAAGCGUGGGGAGCGAACAGGAUUAGAUACCCCGGUAGUCCACGCCGUAAACGAUGAGUGCUAGGUGUUGGAUCCUUUCCGGGAUUCAGUGCCGCAGCUAACGCAUUAAGCACUCCGCCUGGGGAGUACGACCGCAAGGUUGAAACUCAAAGGAAUUGACGGGGGCCCGCACAAGCGGUGGAGCAUGUGGUUUAAUUCGAAGCAACGCGAAGAACCUUACCAGGUCUUGACAUCCCGAUGCUAUUUCUAGAGAUAGAAAGUUACUUCGGUACAUCGGUGACAGGUGGUGCAUGGUUGUCGUCAGCUCGUGUCGUGAGAUGUUGGGUUAAGUCCCGCAACGAGCGCAACCCCUAUUGUUAGUUGCCAUCAUUCAGUUGGGCACUCUAGCGAGACUGCCGGUAAUAAACCGGAGGAAGGUGGGGAUGACGUCAAAUCAUCAUGCCCCUUAUGACCUGGGCUACACACGUGCUACAAUGGUUGGUACAACGAGUUGCGAGUCGGUGACGGCGAGCUAAUCUCUUAAAGCCAAUCUCAGUUCGGAUUGUAGGCUGCAACUCGCCUACAUGAAGUCGGAAUCGCUAGUAAUCGCGGAUCAGCACGCCGCGGUGAAUACGUUCCCGGGCCU